UAAUGGCUCACCAAGGCGACGAUCCCUAGCUGGUCUGAGAGGAUGAUCAGCCACACUGGAACUGAGACACGGUCCAGACUCCUACGGGAGGCAGCAGUGGGGAAUAUUGCACAAUGGGCGCAAGCCUGAUGCAGCCAUGCCGCGUGUGUGAAGAAGGCCUUCGGGUUGUAAAGCACUUUCAGUCGUGAGGAAGGUGGUANUGUUAAUAGCANNAUCAUUUGACGUUAGCGACAGAAGAAGCACCGGCUAACUCCGUGCCAGCAGCCGCGGUAAUACGGAGGGUGCGAGCGUUAAUCGGAAUUACUGGGCGUAAAGCGCAUGCAGGUGGUUUGUUAAGUCAGAUGUGAAAGCCCGGGGCUCAACCUCGGAAUAGCAUUUGAAACUGGCAGACUAGAGUACUGUAGAGGGGGGUAGAAUUUC
rnacentral:rRNA from 1 species